GACUACAGGCAUCUGCCACCAUGCCUGGUGAAUUUUUUGUAUUUUUAGCAGAGACAGGUUUUCACCUUGUUGGCCAGGCUGGUCUUGAACUCCUGACCUCAUGAUCCACCCACCUCGGCCUCCCAACGUGCUGGGAUUACAGUCGUGAGUCACCGCACCGUGCUGGUUUUGGUGGGCAUCACCUGUCCUUGGCUCUAAUAGAGGAUGUUACAGAAAUCGUGUAGGCGCAGGUUUAGGUGCAGGCACAGGUGUAGGCAUAGCACAGUGUAGGUGCAGGCACAGGUGUAGGUGUAGGCACAGGAGUAGGUGUAGGCACAGGUGUAGGCAUAGCACAGUGUAGGUGCAGGCACAGGUGUAGGUGUAGCACAGGUGUAGGUGUAGCACAAUGUAGUUGUAGCACAGGUGUAGGGGUAGCACAGUGUAGGUGCAGGCACAGGUUUAGGUGUAGCACAGUUGUAGGUGUAGGCAGAGAUGUAGGUAUAGCACAGGUUUAGAUGUAGGCAAAGGUGUAGGUGCAUUGUAGGAUUAGGUGCAGGUGUCAGCACGGGGUAAGUAUAGGCAGAGGUGUAGGUGCAGGCACAGAUGUAGUUGCAGGUACAGAUGUAGGUGUAUAUUUUCUCUUGGAAAUAGCAAAGCACCGGCCAGACAUGGUGGCCCAAGGUCAUUACAGUGUCCUCAAGAGAGGAGGCAGGAGGGUGAGAGUCAGAGAGAAGAGGCUGUGCUGGUGGAUUUGAAGAUGAAAGACCUCAGCCCGCAACCCCACACCAGGGAGGCAAGCGCCUCCAGAUGCCAGAAAAGGCGGGAAAGGGACUCUCCCCUGGGGCCUCUGGAAGAGGCAGCCCUGCUGAUACUUGGACUUUAGCCCAAGUGAGAUCUACUUUGGACUCCAUCCUCCGGAAGGAUAAGAGAAUAAAUGUGCUUUUUGUUGUUGUUGUUUUUGAGACAGAGUCUUACAGUCUCUCUCUGUCACCCAGGCUAGAGUGCAGUGGCGUGAUCUCGGCUCACUGCAGCCUCAACCUCCCGGGUUCAGGAGCUUCUCCUGUCUCAGCCUCCUGAGUAGCUGGGAUUACGUGCAUGCGCCACCACACCCAAUUAAUUUUUGCAUUUUCAGUAGAGAUGGGGUUUUGCCAUGUUGGCCAGGUCUCGAACUCCUGACCUCCAGUGAUCCGCCCGCCUCAGCCUCCCAAAGUGCUGGGAUUACAGGCGUGAGCCGCCGCACCCGGCCCGAAUGUGCAGUGUUUUAAGUCACCCCAUUUGUGGGCGUUUGUUACAGCAGUGGCCAGAUGCUAACAUGGGAACUGUCUUUGUCCGUUUGCCCCGCUGUAACAAAGUACCAUAGACCGGUGGGUUAGAAACAACAGAAGGUUAUUUCCCACAGUCCUGGAGGCUGCAAGUCUGAGAUCAGGGUGCCAGCAUGAUCAGGUGCUGGUGACGGGGGCCCUCCUGGUUGCACACACCACCUGCUUCUCAGUGUCCUCACAUGGCAGGCAGGGGCCACUGGUGUCUCUUGAUCCUCUUUUAUAAGGACACCAAUCCCAUGCAUGACAGCUCUGCUCCAUAACCUCAUUGCCUCCCCAAAGCCUCACUUCCUAAUACCAUCACCUUGAGGGUGGGAAUUACAACAUAUGAAUCUGGGGGAGACACAGGCGUUCAGGCCAUAGCAGGGACUGGGGGUCUUUUCCUAACCUAUUUGAGCCUCAAUCUCCACGUCUGUGGAAUGGGGACAAUGAUAAUCCCUCCAUCAUUAGGUCACUCUAAAGAUCCAUAAGUUGUGCAACAGGUGUCAGCUGCUUUGACUGUGGC
rnacentral:lncRNA from 1 species